rnacentral:rRNA from 1 species
UACGACGGGGGCUAGCGUUGCUCGGAAUCACUGGGCGUAAAGCGCACGUAGGCGGCCUCUUAAGUCGGUGGUGAAAUCCUGGAGCUCAACUCCAGAACUGCCUUCGAUACUGAGAGUCUCGAGUCCGAGAGAGGUGAGUGGAACUGCGAGUGUAGAGGUGAAAUUCGUAGAUAUUCGCAAGAACACCAGUGGCGAAGGCGGCUCACUGGCUCGGUACUGACGCUGAGGUGCGAAAGCGUGGGGAGCAAACAGG